rnacentral:misc_RNA from 1 species
CUUCUUCUUUAUCAUUUCUUGAAGCUCAACUUAGUUAAUUUUUGUAACAAUGGCAGAGGAAGUGGUCUUAUUGGAUUUGUGGGUUAGUCCUUACGCAGCCAGGGUGAAAAUUGCCCUGGCUGAGAAGGGAAUAGAGUAUGAGUCCAGGGAAGAGGAUUUGAGCAACAAGAGCUCACUGCUUUUAGAAAUGAACCCUGUCUAUAAGAAAGUCCCGGUCUUGAUACAUAAGGGGAAACCCAUAUCUGAAUCACGGAUCAUAGUUCAAUACAUAGAUGAGCUCUGGAAUCACAAGUCUCCUUUGCUGCCUUCUGACCCUUACGCGAGAGCUCAUGCCCGGUUUUGGGCUGAUUUUGUUGAUCAAAAGAUCCAAGGUACCAUGUACAGGCUUUUUGAGGCAGCAAGCAGUGAAAGCAGAGAAGCAGCAGAGAAGGAACUCAUUGAAGACUUUAAAGUGAUGGAAGGUGAGCUUGGGAAGAAGCCCUACUUCGGAGGAGAGACGUUCGGGUUUGUAGAUAUUGCUUUCAUUCCCUCCUAUAGAUACUAUUAUGGCCAUGAGACCUUGGGAAACUUUAACCUAGUGGAAGAGCUUCCCAAGCUCGCAGCAUGGGUCAAGAGAUGCUUGCAAAGGGAGAGUGUGUCCAAGUCCUUGCAUGACCCCAACAAGGUCUAUGAAUUUAUUUCGGAACUACGUAAGAAGAGGGGAUUAGAAUGAAUUUGAAAUUAAUUAUAAUUUUCAAAUUAUGGCCAUCAAUACCUCACUGGUUGUGGGGGUUGUGCUUGUUCGGGUUGGAGUCUUCGCGUCGUUUGACUCGUCAUCUAGCUAGCGUUUUU